rnacentral:rRNA from 1 species
AACGAACGCUGGCGGCAUGCCUAACACAUGCAAGUCGAACGAGACCUUCGGGUCUAGUGGCGCACGGGUGCGUAACGCGUGGGAAUCUGCCCUUGGGUUCGGAAUAACAGUUAGAAAUGACUGCUAAUACCGGAUGAUGACGUAAGUCCAAAGAUUUAUCGCCCAAGGAUGAGCCCGCGUAGGAUUAGCUUGUUGGUGAGGUAAAGGCUCACCAAGGCGACGAUCCUCAGCUGGUCUGAGAGGAUGAUCAGCCACACUGGGACUGAGACACGGCCCAGACUCCUACGGGAGGCAGCAGUGGGGAAUAUUGGACAAUGGGCGAAAGCCUGAUCCAGCAAUGCCGCGUGAGUGAUGAAGGCCUUAGGGUUGUAAAGCUCUUUUACCCGGGAUGAUAAUGACAGUACCGGGAGAAUAAGCCCCGGCUAACUCCGUGCCAGCCGCCGCGGUAA